GUGUAUGUAUUGUGCAUACAUGUAUUUUGUUUUAGGAGUGUAGCAUUGUUAGUUGGUUACAUUCCUUUGUUUAAAUAUUCUUUGUCAUUUAUUUCCUCAAUAAAUGACCAGGCAAUGGCCCCAUCUUUGACGCUGUUUUAACAAUUUACAUUUGUAUCUUUUUCAUCAGGUACUUUUUGACUUGAUUCUGGUAUUAAUUAUGGUACUGUUAUUUUAACCUUUGGACUGUUUAGGUUCUAAACAGUACUAUUGUAUAUACAUGUUUUUUGCUUGAUGAGGUAGUUUUUCUUAUAACUACAUUUCUUUUUGUGUAUGUAUUGUGCAUACAUGUAUUUUGUUUUAGGAGUGUAGCAUUGUUAGUUGGUUACAUUCCUUUGUUUAAAUAUUCUUUGUCAUUUAUUUCCUCAAUAAAUGACCAUUCUAAUUCCUG
rnacentral:sRNA from 1 species